CCGGUUGAUCCUGCCGGAGGCGACCGCUAUUGGAGUUCGAUUAAGCCAUGCGAGUCGAGAGUCUUAGGGACUCGGCAUACUGCUCAGUAACACGUGGAUAACCUGCCCUACGCUGGGGGAUAACCUCGAGAAAUUGAGAAUAAUACCCCAUAAGCCACUAUGCCUGGAAAGGUUUGUGGCCAAAAGCUCCGGCGGCGUAGGAUGGGUCUGCGGCGUAUCAGGUUGUAGUGGGUGUAAUGUACCUACUAGCCUUCAACGCGUACGGGUUGUGGGAGCAAUCGCCCGGAGAUGGAUUCUGAGACACUAAUCCAGACCCUACGGGGUGCAGCAGGCGCGAAAACUUCACACUGCAGGAAACUGUGAUGAGGGAACUCCAAGUGGUACCACGAAUGUGGUAUCCUUUUCUUGACUCUUAACAGGUCUUGGAAUAAGGGGUGGGAAAGACCGGUGCCAGCCGCCGCGGUAAUACCGGCACCUCAAGUGGUCGUCGCUUUUAUUGGGCCUAAAACGUCCGUAGCCGGUUUGGUAAACCCGUGGGUAAAUCAACCAGCUUAACUGGUUGAAUUCUGCGGAGACUGCCAAACUUGGAACCGGGAGAGGUGUGAGGAACUCUUGGGGUAGGGGUAAAAUUUGUUUAUCCCAGGGGGACCACCUGUUGCGAAGGCGUCACACUAGAACGGAUUCGACGGUCAGGGACGAAGCCUAGGGGCACGAACCGGAUUAGAUACCCGGGUAGUCCUAGGUGUAAACGCUGUGGACUUGGUGUCGGGAGUCUCUUGAAGGCCCCCGGUGCCGCAGCGAAGGUGUUAAGUCCACUGCCUGGGGAGUACGGUCGCAAGGCUGAAACUUAAAGGAAUUGGCGGG
rnacentral:rRNA from 1 species